CUCACACAUCAAAAUCACAAAAUUACUUUUCUUCCAUUCUAAUGAAACAGUAUCUGCUGCUAUUCUUUAAAAUCUAGGGUUCUUUCUCAUGUCUUCUGUCGGCCGGAGAGAAUUGAAGCCAACAUUCAGGUUAACUAUGGCUGGGGUAAUAACAGGGAGGUGACAGAAGAGAGUGAGCACACAUGGUCUUUUCUUGCAUUGAUAUAUAUUUAUAUGCUUGAAGCUAUGCGUGCUCACUCUCUAUCUGUCACCCCCACCAAUCUCUCUCUCUCUUCUUCUUUUCUCUCUCUAGAUUUCAUUCUGUUUUAUGUUGUGCGUUUCUGUGUUUUUUCAGCGUCUAAUAUUGUUGGAAUGGUACUCAGGGACGGAUCUAGGAGACGGAAGGGGUAACCUUUCAUCGAAAAAAUUAGACUGUAUAUUACAAGUCCAUAAUUACUUAUUAUGUAUAUAGUAGUUGUUGAAUCCCAUUCGCUUCAUGCAUUUGUCUAAUAAUACUCAUUCGCUUCAUGCAUUUGUCUAAUAAUACUCAUCAUAUAUAUAUCGGAUGAGUUUGAGUUAAUUGCUUGUUCAGGAUCAUUCAUUCAUGCUGAUUGGGUUUUACUGAUGGUGGAUCUGGUAAUUAAUAAACUUUUUCUUCAUUUAUUUGUAUAUUUGUGUACUAUAAUACUUUUCGUCUUCUCGACCGAUGGCCUUUCGGAAACAGUAUCUUUACUCUUCGGGUAAGUGUAAGGUUUGCUUAAACAGUACCCUCCCCAGAUCUUACUAGUGUGCAUAUUUUUCUGCAGAAAUGAUUCACCUCAUGUUUUAGUGGUUUCCUUAAUCACUCACCAUUUUCUCUAUUACUAUUGUUUAUACGGUCUUUUGAUAAUUUCUUGCACUUUCAUCAGGAAAAAAUCAAGAUAUAUAUAGUUUUUGCCUUUCUAGUUUAAAUGGAUUUAUCCCAAUCUGACUCUUGUAUUCGCGUUUCAAGAAGAUCCAUUACCUAGUUAGUUUUAGGAUUUUCUGCAAGAUUUUAUAUUAUCCUUUCUACAGUACUACGCAGUUCUUUAGAUAAAUUUCUAAUAUGUUAUUUACAAAAUAUUCGCACGCAAAUGUAAAAAGGAACCAUUUAGUACUCUAUUAACGUUUUCUAGAUAUCUUGAUCAGUGUCCAAUAGUAUUCAAGGUUAGUUUAUGAACAUGGAAACUAAUUACUAUUUUUGAUUUAAACAAGUACAAUAGGAAGGGGAACCAUGGAUUAAUUUCUAGUUUAGUUUAAUCCAUCAUUUUCAAGCUUAGCUUCCGUUUUUGGUUGAUACAAGUUUUAAUAUACAAGUCAAUCUGGGUUCUUUGUUCCUCUCUUAUCUCUUUUUUCUGUUCUGUCAUCAAGCUAUUGGCUUGUUGUAUUUGUGAAGCCAUUUUUAUGAAAGUUUAUUUACUAGUUUUUGUGCCUGUUUUACGAAGUGACUGACCGUUAGCCUGAACUGUUGUGUGUAUGACUCUUUCAUAUUGAAAUUCCAACACUCGUGAAGUGCUAAGUAGUUUCCCUAUUUUGUAAUUCUAGACCAGAAGCCUGUUUACUUAUUUCAAGAAUUUGGGCAACAAUAUUUCUUUUGGAUUAUUUUAGAUUUCCUUACCUGUUGAGUGUACUUGUUGUGGUAUCCUUACAUUUUCUUGAUUCAUCCUCACUUCAUCAAUUAGUUUUCGCGAUUGAGUUGAAUCAAGUAUCUGUUUUUAUUUAUAUGGUAUCACAGCCAGACCAAUUUCUUUAUUUCUUGGUUAUCCUAUAUGUGCUUUUAUGUUAUAUUAGAUUCCCAUAUUGGUUGAGAAUGUUUGAGCAAUUGUAUCCUUAUUAUUCUUAAAAAUAAUUCGCAACUCAUAAGCUAACUGUUGGGUGUUGGGGUUGAGUUAGACUCGAAAGCCAAGGUUUCACAAAUUAUCAAAAAGUUUGCAAAUGUUUUUGUUGUUACUUCCAAGUUCUAGCAAUACUAGUUGAUGGUAACUAUUCCCAUGUUACAUUGUGGUGGUGGCGGGCCGGUUGAUUUUAAGGUUAAUGGUGUUUAAUUCUCAGGUUAAUCUUGGAAACAUGUGUGUCCAUAGCCUGAAGCAGUUUACUCCUUUCUACAUAUGCCAUUAACCCACUCUUUCAAGGUUUAUCUUUUGCAUAGAAAGCAUCUUAGUGGUUAUUUUGACUUGCUUAGAGCCUCCGAUAGUGCAGCUGAAACAGCGAUGAGUUGUACUAUCAAAACAGCGACGAGUUCUUUGUUCUAUUUUGAAGAGUCACCAAUGUUCUUGCUAAAUGGGGAGUAGAAGAGGGGGAAGCUAUCAUUUAUUCAUCUGCAAAUCUGCCCAAAUAUGCAAUUGGAACCUAUUUUCUUGACAAAUUAAGCUCAAAUGCCUCCUGUCAAGUACAAAGAAAGGAGGAAUUUUUGUACAUGGUAUACACUGAUUCUUUUGUCUUUUGGUACUGCCCAUAGAAUUGGAUCCUCACUUGAUCUUUUUUGUUGUCUUCCGAUAAGGAACAAUCCCAUAAGUAGAUUAUUUUUAUAUCUUAGAAGAACCAUCAAUAGCUGAUGGUAUUAAUUAAAUGUAAGUAUUGCUCAAUUAGUAGAGGUUUGGUUUAUUAAUAAAAAAAAAGGAGUGGCGUGACUUAUAAUUUGAAGAAGGAUAUAAAAAAAUUGAUGUACGAAAGUGUUUCACAGUUUAAACCUAACUGUCAAGGUAUUAUUCGCUUUAGUCUGACUCUUCUAGGCUACCUCAAGGUUUUUGGGCCACACAAUUUUGUCCCCUUGAGCUUUAACCUAGAAGGUGGCUCAAUAGUUGAAUUCUAAACUAGCCCUUAUCUUUACUCUAACUUAUUUUUCUCAAGUGUAGGAUUUGCCUCAAAGGCAAGUUUCACAAAAAAUCUCAUUUCGAGUUCAAUCGCCGCUGGUCCAUUGGCGGUACGAAGUGGAAAAUGGAAGAACUGCAAUCCAAUCAAAGAUUCAAACUGCUUAUUGACACAGUCGAACAAAUGCGGCAUGUUUGGGUGAAAAAAGUUUGAAUAGAGCCAGAUCUAAGGGAAGUGUUUGAGUGAGCUAAAAAGUUUGAGUAAAGCCAGAUGUAACCUUGUUUUGCAGUGAGUAGUAGUUAUGAAUCCUGUAGCAAAAUUGGAACUGAGGGUUGGGAGGUAGAAGUACUUUUAUACAUUAAAAAUUCCAUAUAUUUCUCUAUUUUAUUUUUUCCUUUUUCCUCCUCUCCUUUGGGUAGGAUGAUGUGGCGUGCAGUCCACAGUUUGAGAUAGUUCUCUUUUUCUUUUUUCUUUUUUGUCUCCUUGCCUGUUGAAGGAGCGCACCUACAUUUUACAUAGUACAUACCAAAGAGGGAAAGAUGCUACUAAUAUUCCCUUAAGUUUCUUUUGGUUUUCCUUUUACCAUAAUUGCAAGUUCCAAAAUGGUUCAGUACGUCCUUGGUAAUAUAUGUACGUAAAGUGGUACUUCUUGAGCAACUUUAUGGUGUAACGAUAUCUAUGUUCAGAUUUGAGUAAUGAUGCCAGCCACGUGUAGGGGAGACUGGGUACCGUUCUGUUUUGGCUGUUUCAGUGUACAAAAGCUAUAUUUUUUAAGAUUAUUUAAUGAAUGGAG
rnacentral:lncRNA from 1 species